rnacentral:rRNA from 1 species
AGCGAACGCUGGCGGCAGGCUUAACACAUGCAAGUUCGAGCGGGCAUCCUUGUGGUGUCAGCGGCAGACGGGUGCAGUAACGCGCUGGGAACGUGCCCUUCGGUUCGGAAUAACUCAGGGAAACUUGAGCUAAUACCGGAUACGCCCUUAUGGGGAAAGGCUUGACUGCCGAAGAUCGGCCCGCGUCUGAUUAGCUGGUUGGUGAGGUAAAGGCUCACCAAGGCGACGAUCCUUAGCUGGUCUCCSAGGAUGAUCAGCCACACUGGGACUGAGACACGGCCCAGACUCCUACGGGAGGCAGCAGUGGGGAAUAUUGGACAAUGGGCGAAAGCUGAUCCAGCAAUGCCGCGUGAGUGAUGAAGGCCUUAGGGUUGUAAAGCUCUUUUACCCGGGAUGAUAAUGACAGUACCGGGAGAAUAAGCUCCGGCUAACUCCGUGCCAGCAGCCGCGGUAAUACGAAGGGGGCUAGCGUUGUUCGGAAUUACUGGGCGUAAAGCGCACGUAGGCGGCUUUGUAAGUUAGAGGUGAAAGCCUGGAGCUCAACUCAGAAUUGCCUUUAAGACUGCAUCGCUUGAAUCCAGGAGAGGUGAGUGGAAUUCCGAGUGUAGAGGUGAAAUUCGUAGAUAUUCGGAAGAACACCAGUGGCGAAGGCGGSUGUCUGGUCCGGUUCUGACGCUGAGGCGCGAAAGCGUGGWGAGCAAACAGGAUUAGAUACCCUGGUAGUCAAUCACUAGUG